rnacentral:rRNA from 1 species
AACGUAGGGGGCGAGCGUUAUCCGGAAUCACUGGGCGUAAAGGGCGUCUAGGCGGUCCAGUAAGUCCUGCGUGAAAGCUCCCGGCUCAACUGGGAGAGCGCGUGGGAGACUGUUGGGCUAGAGACUCGGAGAGGGGUGUGGAAUUCCCGGUGGAGUGGUGAAAUGCGUUGAGAUCGGGAGGAACACCAGUGGCGAAGGCGGCACCCUGGCCGAGUUCUGACGCUGAAGCGCGAAAGCUAGGGGAGCGAACGGG